rnacentral:lncRNA from 1 species
CAAAAAGGUUCCAGAUAAUUAAUUAACAGAAUAAUAAAUCUGAUCAUUGCAAUAAUAUGGAAUUUAUACAGAAAGUGAUUAGAGAUGGGGAAGCUUGUUUUGCAUAUUUUUAUAACCCUUUCCAAUCAGGGAGACUACUAAGGAGCAGGGUAAGUUCUAACUAUCCGCUGCACCCAAACUAGUGAAAAGUGGCCGGAUAGUGAAGAACGGAGAUCACUAGACCGGAGUCAACAGGGUCAAAAUAUCUUUUCCGGAGUUAUCAGACCUGGACCCGAACUCGGAUCCUUCUGCGUGGCACGCCAACAACGUUAUCAUUCGGUCAUCCUGCCGAUGGAGAAACUAUAUUACUAAUUUAUGGAAACAGUUAAAAAAACAUUUUUUCCGAUGAUUCGUGUGGUUUAUGUCGUCAAAUAUAUCCUCCCUUCAUAUGUUGGGUUACCUGGCGUCCUUUUGACUAAUUUUUAUUUACUCAAAAGCAUGCCGAUAAAAGUAUCCACCAUCCAAUUUCAAUCUUCGAUUCUCGGAUUAAACAAACGAUUUCCAAAUGAUUCCGCAGGCUAGUUUGAAUCUGCACGUGAAGAUUGCGCUUAUAGUGAGAAAUUUUAAAGAAAACAAAAGAUUUAGAAACAUUUUCAAAAAUUAAAACGCUUAUUUAUUUCAUUUAUUUUGGC